GACAGAGGAUGCAAGCGUUAUCCGGAAUGAUUGGGCGUAAAGCGUCUGUAGGUGGCUUUUUAAGUCCGCCGUCAAAUCCCAGGGCUCAACCCUGGACAGGCGGUGGAAACUACCAAGCUGGAGUACGGUAGGGGCAGAGGGAAUUUCCGGUGGAGCGGUGAAAUGCGUAGAGAUCGGAAAGAACACCGAUGGCGAAGGCAGGUCUCUGGGCCACUACUGACGCUGAGAAGCGAAAGCGUGGGGAGCGAACAGG
rnacentral:rRNA from 1 species